CAACUCUGUCUUGCAUUCAGCAGCGUCUAGUGGAACAGUAGAAAUGGUCAAGAUGAUUAUUGAAACACGCCGGCUGGACAUUAACGCACAAACUCUAAAGGGAUGGACACCUAUCCACUGUGCCGUGAAUAGCCAGAAAGUAGAUGUGUUGAAAUUUCUUAUCGAAUGCAAGGCUGAUAUUUUUGUUGCUACUGAGGAAGGUUGGUUGGCUUUGCAUCUGGCUUGCAAAGUUGG